AAACGCAGCUAUUAACGACCCAUCGAAAAUCUGCAGCUAUUACCGACCUAUAAAAGUAAUUCGAAAUCUUUACGUUUCCAGAACUAUUCUAACUAUAGGUAGGCAAAGUUACACACGCGUUUAUUCCUUGAGCAUCGUAUACUUUUACGUUAGCGUGAGUAGCUGUGCAGAAAAUAGAUAAAAUACGUCAUUUACUACGGGGCAGCGUGGACGCAGGACAUGGCGUACUGUUCCCUUGUUCCUUCAAAAGUAUGGAGCCACAAAAGCGGCGAAAAGUAUACAGUAAAACACAACUCGCCGAAGCAAUCAAAGCAAUUAAUGAGGGUACCAGUGUAUAUGAGGCAUCAAAAAGGGUUAAUAUUCCCAAAACUACAUUACGAGACAAACGGGACGCUAAGUAUAAGAAUGAAAUUUGCGGAGUUCAGCCGGUUCUUAAUUUAUGUGAAGAAAAAUGAAGUACCAAUUUGUUUUAUUAAAAAGAACGACAAUAAAAAAAUACGAAUAAGUAUUUGCAUUUUUAUUUUGUUGUAUUUUAUUAAGAUCGGUAAUCACCAUCACUAGCUUAUAAACAUGCCAUUACUGGAAAAAGGCCUCCUAUCAUACACGAUCGGGAAUAGCUGCAUAAAAAUCGUUAAUAGCUUCACAGCCGUUUUUUAUGGGUCGGUAAUUGCAACAAUCGACUAAGUCACAUUAUAAAUUAUUUUUUACAAGAUAAUCCUCUAUUUUAAUCUAUUUGAUUCAGUAAAUACAUAUUUUAUACAUAACA